rnacentral:rRNA from 1 species
AUGGCGACCGGCGCACGGGUGAGUAACACGUAUCCAACCUGCCGAUGACUCGGGGAUAGCCUUUCGAAAGAAAGAUUAAUACCCGAUGGCAUAGUUCUUCCGCAUGGUAGAACUAUUAAAGAAUUUUCGGUCAUCGAUGGGGAUGCGUUCCAUUAGCUUGUUGGCGGGGUAACGGCCCACCAAGGCAUCGAUGGAUAGGGGUUCUGAGAGGAAGGUCCCCCACAUUGGAACUGAGACACGGUCCAAACUCCUACGGAAGGCAGCAG